UUCCCUUUGACGACAGGUCAGUCCUCUCCUGGGGAAACCUCCCUCCGACCUCGGCCGCCUCUCAGCCGCUGGGCCCCCGGGAGAAAGGCACAGCUGAUGACACACGCAGCAGGAACAAACUUCACGCCAGCCAAGCCAGAAAAGCUGGAUGGGAGGCACCCGACACCCGGGAGGACACAGGGCAGGGCGGGAGGUGCAGGACUGAUUUUUUUUCCCCCCUGGUUUAUAACUGCGCAGGUGCAUUCCACAUCUCCAGCACUAAAAUCAGUGAUGAGUUGUAGCUGGUAAAAUGAAAAUGUCAUCAUUUAGGGAAGGCAGAUGAAGACAUUCAUCAUGGAGGCCAAGCAACAAUAGGAGACCAGCACUAUGCUUCCAGGUCCCAAGAAGGAUGCCAGUCAGCCACAGUCAAAUAAUACUGGCUACAGUAACACCAUUUUAGAUCUUUAUUUUCCAAAAGGUAUUAAUUGUAUUUAAAAUUGUCUUUUACCAAUUAAUUCCCUUGCUGUGAUUUUAGCAAUGAUCAACAAGACAGCUGAAUAUGAGCCAGCAUUGUGUCCAGGCGGCCAAGAGGGCCAACAGCAUCCUGGCUUGUAUCUGGCAUACUGUGGCCAGCAGGAGUAGGGAAGUGAUUGUGUCCCUGUACUUGGCGCUGGUGAAGCUGCACCUCAAGUACUGUGUUCAGUUCUGGGCCCUUCACUACAAGAAGGACAGUGAGGUGCUGGAGCAUGUCCAGAGAAGCUGGUGAAGGGUUUGAAACACAAGAGCUAUGAGGAACACCUGAGGGAACGGACUGUUCAGCCUGAAGAAAAUGAGGCUGAGGGGAGACGUUCUCGCUCUCUACAAUUACCUGAAGGAGGUUCUACUGAGGUGGGGGUUGGUCUCUUCUCCCACUAGCAAACAACAUGACAUGAGGAAGUGGCCUCAAGUUGUCCCAGGGGAGGUUUAGGUUAGAUAUUAGGAAAAAUUGCUUCACUGAAAAGGUUGUCAAUCAACUGGAACAGGCUGCCCAGGGAAGGGGUUGAGUCACCAUCUCUGAAGGUAUUUAAAAGACCUGUAGAUGUAGGCAUUUAAAAGAUGUAGAUGUGGUGCUUAGGAACACAGUUUAGUGGUCUACUCGGCAUCGUUGGGUUUGCAGUUGGUCCCAGUGAUCUUAAAGGUCUUUUCCAGCUUAAAUGAUUCUAAGGUUCUAUUAAUUUUAACUGGAAAAAGAGCAAGCCUCCUAAACUGACUACAUCCCAAAAUGUUAAUGCAUUCACAACUGAAAGAUAAGUGAACACACAAAACUGUGGUAAUAAAAGACUUUACUAAAAUAUCAUACAUUGAAUAGUGAGCUCAACAUUCUCACGUUCUAUGCAAGUAAUGCAAACACUGUCACACAUUUUAUAUUAACAUUAUAGAGUAACCUGCACAAAUCCAAGAAGAGCAGCAUUCCUGUCUGAUCCAUUACAGACAGUUAGGCCUUGUAUUCCGCUCAGCUUUUACAUAAGGCAAAUGUUUCAUUUCAAAAAGCUACUCUGUAUUCUCAAAAGUGCCUUUAGGGUUACACCUCCUUAGUAAUACUGAAUCGGAUGAUACAUGCGACCAAAUCCUCCACGGAUAUUUUUGAAAAUCCUAACUUAAACUAAGAAUAUGUUAGUUGAGUUAGAAUUGUGAAAAAGGUUUUCAUUUUUCUGUAUUGAAAAACUGUUCUUGUGUAGGAAGAAGCAGAGUAUGCUGAAAUACACAGCUCUAACCAGACACUAUCAGCUCUGUUGAUUUUUACCCUUCUUCCUACUAAAUGAGAUGCAAUGGAGUUGCUUUCCAGAAUUACUUUUCUAAGCUAUUAAUAAAAAAAUUAUUUCAAGAUAAUCUGACACAGAAAUUGAAAUGUUAGGAUAGUGCACUACUUUUCCAGAUAAACUACCCCAAAAUUGCCUAAAUUCUUUCUUUGCCUGUACAAAAUUUGAAAAAUAAGUAUAUGUACAUUGUAGUAUUAUCUUUACAGUUCUACCUAUAUUUCUGAUCUUUUUGUGGUGAUCUUUCAUAGGAUACUGCAUAUAAUUUGGCAAAAGGCCACUAAUAUGGUUUUGAUUGUGUUAAAAACAAUAUCUGAGGCCUAAGCUGAGAAAGCUGAUUUCAUUUAGCUGAUACAUAUAAAGUGACUAGCACAGUGGCUUUUUUUAGAUAAAUAAAUUUGCCUUACAUGCAAUCAUCUACUUUUCUUAAUACACCUUUUUCUUCAAGCAAGAUAAGCUUGUAUUAUAAGUAAUUAUUCAUGUACUAUAUUCUUGUUGAAACCUACUGAAUAGAGAGAAAUAUGAAAUUAAUUUCUAAAUUAUGUGAGCACAAAGAAAAGAAUAUGUUGAGGGAAAUAAUGUGCAGCAACCUGAAGCAUUUACUUGGGAAGCUACUUCACAAAAAGGAAUGGAACAGGCUAUUUGAAUCUAUAACAUUUCAACCUGUACUCAUGUGCUCCUCAUCAGACAUUUAACAGGGAUAGGCAAAUGCUUAGGACAGACAGGCCAUUUGGUGCUUAACAACAUAUAUUCAAAGGGGACAAAGUAUCUGAAAUGCAGUGAUAAAGAGAGACAUCUUGCAUGGGUCACUAGAAAUUACAAAUAGACUCCUCAGAAACAGUAUCCAGAAUGGGAUGGUUUCUUAACACGUGCCUGAGGGCCUUAUUCCCAAUGACAUGGUAGCUAUGAAUGUAGCCCCAAAAAUGUAGUAGUAGCAUCUGCAGAUGUGAUUAACAGAGAAUAGCACCAUCUUCCCAUUUAGUAGCUACAUUCAGGUAAUUAGGAAAUAAAAUGAAAGCUAUAGUCAAGAAUUCUAGCAGAACUUAGCCCUCAAGGGUAACUUUUUAACGAUGAUACAAAGCCGCAAACUGCUCAGGUAAUGCCACCCACAAGCAACCAUUGUUCAGGGAAGCAAUCCAAAAUACGUCCCCAGUUGGGAGACUUUACCUUUUGGCCACCAACUUAGCCUGACAGAAGACCAGCAGCUGCACCAUCCCAGGAGCCAGACACCACCAUAUUUCUUGGAUCUCAACACCUACGGGAGGUGAGCAAGUCAACACAAACCUGGACAGAUAUUCUGCCAAAAUACAGUCUCCCUGAGACUGCGGGGCUGGACUGGUCCUGCCAGCUGGCAGAAGAUUGGCACCAGGCACAGAUGUGGAAGUGAGACCUACAAGGGAUUUCAGUAUUAUUUCUCUGAGAACAAGAAGAGGCCAAGAUGGACAUUAGGCUGCAUUGUGCUGUCCCAGCUCACAGACCCUCUGCUCCCACAAGAGAGGAAGCUAGGAGAGGCAAGGAAGUAUCCUUUUAUGCUCAAUAUUUUUAUGUAAAUUAAAGCAAUAGUCAGCUUGUACCUUGGGUACAAUAACAGUGAAUGGCAAAAAGACAUUUCUACAGGUUACAUGAAAAGAAUAGCAAUUAAAAUGCUGUUACUAAGUUUGAUCAGUCUGACCCAUUGUACCUACCAAAGGCAGCAGCAAAAGUAGAUGUGCUGCAGCAUAGCUUUCAGUCCAAGGGCAGAUACAGCUCCAAAGUUGGAAUGGGAGGUGGAAAGAUGCUGUUCAAUAUGGAACUGGGCUGCCCAAUCCCUUACAUAGGGUACAUAAUAGGGAAAGGCAAAGAUCUCCUCAGUCAUCCACCUGACCACCUGGAUAGCCAUAUCCCUGCGAACACCAUAUAGGCAGCUCUUUUAUGAAUGGGAAACUUAAAAUAAAGGAGAUUGUUCUUCUACCAAACAAAUAAACUUUACUUCUUUUAUCAGCAGUUGUCAAAAGUAAGUGCAUGAGUUCAGGUUACUCAACAUCAGAAGAAAAUAAAUAAUGUAUUAUUACUGUUAUUAAAUGCUUUUCAGGA